CAGGUACAGAACAGGUUGAGUUAGGUCAGGUACAGAACAGGUUGAGUUAGGUCAGGUACAGAACAGGUUGAGUUAGGUCAGAUAGGUUGAGGUAGGUCAGAUACAGGUUCAGUUAGGUCAGAUACAGAACAGGUUGAGUUAGGUCGGAUACAGGUUGAGUUAGGUCAGAUACAGGUUGAGUUAGGUCAGAUACAGGUUCAGUUAGGUCAGAUACAGAACAGGUUGAGUUAGGUCAGGUACAGAACAGGUUGAGUUAGGUCAGGUACA
ensembl:lncRNA